rnacentral:rRNA from 1 species
AGACGAACCGGACGAACGUUAUUCGGAAUCACUGGGCUUAAAGGGUGCGUAGGCGGCGCGGCAAGUUGGGUGUGAAAGCCCUCAGCUUAACUGAGGAAUUGCGCCCAAAACUGUCGUGCUAGAGGGAGGCAGAGGUGAGCGGAACUUGCGGUGGAGCGGUGAAAUGCGUUGAUAUCGCAAGGAACACCAGUGGCGAAAGCGGCUCACUGGGCCUCUUCUGACGCUGAGGCACGAAAGCUAGGGGAGCGAACGGGAUUAGAUACCCCGGUAGUCCUAGCUGUAAACGAUGAGCACUUGGUUGGAGGGUCCUCCAUAGCUUUCCAAUCGUAGCGAAAGUGUUAAGUGCUCCGCCUGGGGAGUAUGGUCGCAAGGCUGAA